rnacentral:rRNA from 1 species
GAUGAACGCUGUCAGAAUGCUUAACACAUGCAAGUCAACUUGAACUUCGGUUUGCGUGGCGGUCGGGUGAGUUACGCGUAAAGUACUUGCCUCACAGCUAGGGACCACAUUUGGAAACGAAUGCUAAUACCUGAUAUUAUGAUUAUAUGGCAUCGUAUUUUUUUGACAGCUGUAUGUGCUGUGUGAGAGCUUUGCGUCCCAUUAGCUAGUUGGUGAGGUAACAGCUCACCAUGGCGAUGAUGGGUAGCCGGCCUGAGGGGGUGAUCGGACACAAGGGGACGAAGAGAAGGCCAUUAAUCCUACGGAAGGAAGUGGUGGGGAAUAUUGGAGAAUGGAGCGAGAGUCUGAUCGAGAAAUUCUGUGUGUAAGAUGAAGUUUUGCGGAAUGUAAAGCGCUUUCAGUUGGGAAAAAAAAAAUGACGGUACCAACAGAAGAAGAGAAGGCUAAAUACGUG